UUAAGUUUGACACCUUGCCGAAUGCGGAGACAAAACGUCAUUUUGUUUAGUGUCAGAGCGGCAUUUGUGGUGUGAACUCGCGUUUGAUCCGCUACCGCACACAGUCCUCUGGUCUAUCGAAAACACAUACACUAUGGUUCCUAAAAAGACAAAGUUAUCCCGAGAGGAAUUACUACAGAAAAGGAGAUAAGCAGAGCGACUACGAUACGAAAUAAAAAAAAUACCCUGAAAAGAGAGAAGAAAUGAGAAAAAAGGAGAAGUUGAAGUAGCAAAAGAAGAAAGAAAAAGGGUUGCGAAAAUUAGUAAAGGACAUAACACCUCGUGACCACAGAGCUGCCUUAAAGAAGUGGAAAGAACAUUGUACUGUAUACCGAGCCAAAAGACUAAGACUGAAAAGCGUCACUAAUAACUUUAUACGAGAAAAAACGCCGAUCCUGAAGCAGAUACUCUUCUACAAGACCAUCUACUCCAGUUCAAGAUCAAAUAUCUCCAGCUCAAAGCCCAGUAGUCUCCAGUGCUAGUUUAAAUCAAAGAAAAAAAGUAUCCACAAAGCGACGAAUGAAGUUUAACAGAGAAAGAAAUGA